rnacentral:rRNA from 1 species
GCCUGCCCAGUGACCCCUGUUCAACGGCCGCGGUAUUUUAACCGCGCAAAGGUAGCGCAAUCACUUGUCCCUUAAAUGAGAACCAGUAUGAAUGGCUAGACGAGGGCUUAACUGUCUCCUUUUCCCAACCAAUGAAAUUGAUCUUCCCGUGCAGAAGCGGGAAUACUAACAUAAGACGAGAAGACCCUGCGGAGCUUUAGACGCCAGAACAGAUCACGUCAAAUACCUCUCUCAAACAGGUAACAACAAAUGAACCCUGUCCCACGUCUUAGGUUGGGGCGACCACGGUGAACAGAAAAACCCCCGCGUGGACUGAGAGCACAUACCUCACACUUAUUAAUACUGCUUCUCACAACCAUGAGCUACAGCUCUAAAUAACAGAACUUCUGACCAAAAAAAUGAUCCGGCAACGCCGAUUAACGGACCAAGUUACCCCAGGGAUAACAGCGCAAUCCUCUUUAAGAGUCCAUAUCGAC